UUCACAUGAACUCCAAGUAUAUAUACUUAGGGCUAUAUCAAUCGCCUUGGCACAUAUAACUAAGACGAAACAUCUCCAAAUCGACAGAGUUCUAAGCCAUAUACUUAGAAUUCAGUCAAAUGAUAUCAACUUUAUUCGAACUCUAACAAAUACCUGAUUGCCAUUUGCCAUUACUAACAGCAAACAGUGAACUGACUGUCCCUAGCGCAAGUGACAAAAGGGCUCGGUGGUUGGUACUCGAGACCCAAGUUCGAAUCCUAGUUGAUUCACAUUUCUAGCUAAGUUUAUUUCCAAAUGAAAUAAACGAAGCGGAUAGCAUGCUACAUUUCUCUUAAAAAAAAAAAAAAAACAGCAAAC
rnacentral:lncRNA from 1 species